rnacentral:lncRNA from 10 species
CCGCCCUCCCCCGCCAAGAGUGGGUGCAGAAUUUUUCCCUGCUCCGCGUCAAUGCUGGGUGUGGCCAUGAGCCCUGAAAUUAGGAAUAUAGACAGGCCCGAGGCAGGGGGCUGGCUCAGGGUUCCACAGUGGCAGAGGAAGAGCCUCCACAGAUCCCGCCUUGCCCUCUGUCGCCAGCUUCUCCUCUCUGCCUCCAUGAUCUGGAACCUUCAGCUGGUCAACUGAGCCACGCCCGGUGCUGUGGUGCUUCCCCAAGCUGCACACGCCGAUGGCAGUGAGGAAUGACUGCGCCCAUUGCAUCACCUCCUCGCUGUCAGUGAGCCAGUGAGCACCUGCGGCUGCUUCGAGGGGAACUACAAUAAAACUUCCAAGACAGUCCACUUUUUAGGAGGUAUAAGCAAAGAGCAAACACAACCUGUCGCCACAGCGGGACGGAGGAGGUGGACCCGGCUCUGAUGCAGGUGGCUGGUUCGAUGGCAGACUCCCCUGUGCCGAGACUCCCAGACCAAAUCCGGAGGUCCUGGA